rnacentral:rRNA from 1 species
GAUGAACGCUGGCGGCGUGCUAAAAAAUGCAAGUCGGAGGAAAAGAAGAAGGGCCUUGCCCCUCGGAGGUUAAGGGGGAAGGGGGAGGAAAAAGGGGGUAAUCCUCCUUAAGAUAUUGGGAAAACUUGGGAAACCCGGGCCAAAUACCGAUUAAUUAAUGAACCGCCUUGUUUUAAUAUGAAAGAACGGUUUUGUGUUCACUAAAAGAAGAAUCCGCGCCGCAUUAGCUAGUUGGUAAGGUAACUGCUUACAAAGGAAAGGAUGCGUAGCCGACCUGAGAUGGUGAUCGGCCACACUGUAACUGAGACACGGUCCAGACUCCUACGGGAGGCAGCAGUAGGGAAUCUUCCGCAAUGCUCGAAAGCCUGACGGAGCAACGCCGCGUGAGUGAUGAAGGUCUUCGGAUCGUUAACCUCUGUUAUUAGGGAAGAACAAAUGUGUAAGUAACUAUGCACGUCUUGACGUUACCUAAUCAGAAAGCCACGGCUAACUACGUG